CCUACGGGAGGCAGCAGUGAGGAAUAUUGGUCAAUGGACGAGAGUCUGAACCAGCCAAGUAGCGUGAAGGAUGACUGCCCUAUGGGUUGUAAACUUCUUUUAUAAAGGAAUAAAACGAGGCACGUGUGCCUUUUUGCAUGUACUUUAUGAAUAAGGAUCGGCUAACUCCGUUCCAGCAGCCGCGGUAAUACGGAGGAUCCGAGCGUUAUCCGGAUUUCUUGGGUUUAAAGGGAGCGUAGAUGGGUUGUUAAGUCAGUUGUGAAAGUUUGCGGCUCAACCGUAAAAUUGCAAUUGAUACUGGCAGUCUUGAGUACAGUUGAGGUAGGCGGAAUUCGUGGUGUAGCGGUGAAAUGCUUAGAUAUCACGAAGAACCCCGAUUGCGAAGGCAGCUUACUAAACUGUGACUGACAUUGAUGCUCGAAAGUGUGGGUAUCAAACAGGAUUAGAUACCCCAGUAGUC
rnacentral:rRNA from 1 species